UACGUAGGGGGCAAGCGUUGUCCGGAUUUAUUGGGCGUAAAGAGCGUGUAGGCGGCCAAGCAGGUCAGCUGUGAAAACUCGAGGCUCAACCUCGAGACGUCGGUUGAAACCGCUUGGCUAGAGUCCGGAAGAGGAGAGUGGAAUUCCCGGUGUAGCGGUGAAAUGCGCAGAUAUCGGGAAGAACACCCGUGGCUAAGGCGGCUCUCUAGUACGGUACUGACGCUGAGACGCGAAAGCGUGGGGAGCGAACAGG
rnacentral:rRNA from 1 species